rnacentral:rRNA from 1 species
GAUGAACGCUGCAGAAUGCUUACACAUGCAAGUCUCUUGAACUUCGGUUUGGGUGCGUACGGUGAGUAACGCGUAAAGAACUUGCCUCACAGUUAGGGCAACAUUUGGAAACGAAUGCUAAUACCUGAUAUUAUGAUUUUAGGGCAUCCUAAGAUUAUGAAGUUAUAUACGCUGUGAGAGAGCUUGCGUCCCAUUAGCUAGUUGGAGAGGUAACGGCUCACCAAGGCGAUGAUGGGUAGCCGGCCUGAGAGGGUGAACGGCCACAAGGGGCUGAGACACGGCCCUUACUCCUACGGGAGGCAGCAGUGGGGAAUAUUGGCAAUGGACCAAAAGUCUGAUCCAGCAAUUCUGUGUGCACGAUGACGUUUUUCGGAAUGUAAAGUGCUUUCAGUUGGGAAGAAAAAAAUGACGGUACC